rnacentral:rRNA from 1 species
GUGCCAGCCGCCGCGGUAAUACCGGCAGCACGAGUGAUGGCCGAUUUUAUUGGGCCUAAAGCGUCCGUAGCUUGCUGUGUAAGUCCAUUGGGAAAUCCACGCGCUCAACGCGUGGGCGUCCGGUGGAAACUGCACAGCUUGGGACCGGAAGGCUCGAAGGGUACGUUCGGGGUAGGAGUGAAAUCCUAUAAUCCCGCACGGACCACCGAUGGCGAAAGCACUUCGAGAAAACGGAUCCGACAGUGAGGGACGAAAGCCAGGGUCUCCAACCGGAUUAGAUACCCGGGUAGUCC